UAAACUCAUACAACAUAAUAUGCCUUAUGCACUGUUCAGACAUCCCAUUUUGUAUAGACUUUAACAGUACAAGAGAUCAUGUACAACUGUUGUUCUCUGCUUCGCAUUACAUGAAGAGCAUGCAGUGUGAUAUGUCUUAUUGUGCCAUUGGUCUAUUUCAUUGUCUGGUCACCAAAAGCAACAAUUCUAUGAGACAUGCAAAAAACGAUAUUACUUAUGGGAUGAACCUGAUUAUGUGAAUUUCUUGCAAGAUUUGCACCUACUGACACAUGCCAAAUGUGAAUCAACUGUUCUCUUGUGUUAUAAAAUUCAAUAAAUAUAUAUGUCUGAAACCACACUUGACAGAUGUUUUUUUUUUAAAAGUUUAAUAAAAUAAUGGUAAAACAAAAAUCUGAAUUAGCUUGUAGGACCAAUAAUUAUAGCAAC
rnacentral:lncRNA from 1 species